rnacentral:rRNA from 1 species
UGGGGAAUAUUGCACAAUGGGGGAAACCCUGAUGCAGCGACGCCGCGUGAACGAAGAAGGUAUUCGUAUCGUAAAGUUCUGUCCUAUGGGAAGAUAAUGACAGUACCAUAGAAGAAAGCUCCGGCUAAAUACGUGCCAGCAGCCGCGGUAAUACGUAUGGAGCGAGCGUUGUCCGGAAUUAUUGGGCGUAAGGGGUACGCAGGCGGUUUAAUAAGUCGAAUGUUAAAGAUCGGGGCUCAACCCCGCAAAGCAUUGGAAACUGAUAAACUUGAGUAGUGGAGAGGAAAGUGGAAUUCCUAGUGUAGUGGUGAAAUACGUAGAUAUUAGGAGGAAUACCAGUAGCGAAGGCGACUUUCUGGACACAAACUGACGCUGAGGUACGAAAGCGUGGGGAGCAAACAGG